GUAAAAGCUAAAUAAAUUCAUACGUACUAUAAUACAGAUAAUUGGGAUAUGAAAUUUACUUUACAGUGACUCGUGGGCUCACAAGGAACAAAAGUGUACAAAGGCAGUAAACCUACAGUUUUUGUAGUAAAGUCGACUAUAAUCCCUGACGAUAUCUGCUAUCCACAGGCUACCUCAGGCCUGAAAUGGUNCUCGUGGGCUUACAAGGAACAAAAGUGCACAAAGGCAGUAAACCUACAAUUUUUGUAGUAGUAAAGCCGUCUAUAAUCUUUGACGAUAUCUACUAUCCACAGGCUACCUCGGGCCUGAAAUGGUUGAAAAAGAGGGUGGUGAGAUUAUAAAAUCCCAGUGAGUAAACAACUACCAUCUAAAUCAUCUAAAGUCGAGUAAAUAGAGACAGAUAAAACAGUUUAACAUACUGAAAUUCAUCACCUUUCAACUUGUUUCAACCAAAUAAAAUCAAUUCAUAUAAAUCGAGUAAUUAACAUGGCUUAUGAAUUUCUUAAGACUUUGGCUCGUGCCAAAAUCAUUAUCAUACUCAGUCAUCAGGGAUACCUUGGCCGAGGGCUAUCCCAAACCGAGUCCGCUAAGGUUGUUAAAAAGUUAUGUACGCAUAAAUCAUAUUUUUAUUUUAAAAAUAUAGCAGUUCCUUGGCGUUAGCGGAAUUCAUCAUCACGAUGUGGUUUGGCAUGAAGUGAACUCUAAAGUUAUACCUCGGGAGUUACCCUACUCGCCUUUCCAACCGAGGUAAGAAUAUAACCAGGUUCCGUGCCUCUCUAAUAGGCUAGUCCACAGAAUCAGCCCACUGCAGCAAGCUAAACCCACAAUACAAUAAAAUUUAAUAGCAUGACAUGACAAUUUUAUCAUUAUCCAACCUAGCAAGACAAACAACAAUUUAUAUAUUUCAACACAAAUACCAAUUCAACCAUUCAUGCCAAUAUUAUCAUAAGCCAUUCAAUUCAAACCAUGAUUUAUAAACACAGUAAUUAGUCUCCAAUUACUCCAUUUUCAAAACCAUCUUUCAAUUUCAAGAUAAUUUUAUAAAAUCAUUUCAUUAAAUCACAUUUUAGUUACAAAACACAAAGAUUUACCAUUUAACUUAUUUUCCAUAAAAUCACAAAAUCGGAUAAAAACCAUUUUAGAUAAUUAAGAUGAUAGUAAGGUUACUCACAGUACUAGGAGUUCGAUAUACUCCUAUUCCCGAUCUUCGGGCACAAUCUCUAUACCCUUGUUAGAGGGCUCACCACCUAUACAUCAUACGUGACACGAAUUUCAAUAAAUUGUGUCAAUUUAUCAUAAACCAUUUCAGGCUCUAUAAAUCUAUAUGAAUGCACGAAAUGUGAUGCAAAAUGUCCAAAUAGCCGUUUAAAUACGGUAUUCGACCUAAUUCGUACUAUUCUUGGUGUAAUUGGCUAAAACCUCUAAUUUAACUCCAAAUCGAUUUCUUUCACUUUCUACACUCCAAUUAUACUUAAAAUACCUCAAUGACUAUGAAUAUGAUUCAAUUUAUCAGUCCGAACCAUAAAUUGCACAUGUCUAUACAUUAGAUAAAAAUUUAGAUUUUCAUGCCAAAAUUUCCCAUUAAAUUUCUAGCCUCACCAAUCAUUAAAUACCACUAAAAUAUCAUGAAAUAUCAUCAAUUUCAGCCUCAAUAUCCUCCCUAGAAAAUUCGGCCUCUUGUGGGUUUGUGAAGAACAAAGUGAUUAUUUGCUAGAUUUUCAUACUUUCCAUUACCAAACAACCAAAAACACUUAAUUAGCUUGAAAUCUAACAAAAUCAAUGCUCAAAACCUCUCCUCUCAAAUUCAGCCAGCAUGGGUUCAUCAUGCAAACUUGAGUUCUAAGCAUGAAAAAUGAACAAGAAAGCAUGGGUAGUGUAAAUCACAAUAUAAAAUAACAAAAUUUUACCUUUAUUAGCUUAAUUCCUUGAAAUCCAACACUUUUUCUUCAAUUUUCCCACCUAGGGUUUGUGUUCUUUCCUUUCCUCUUCACUUCAUGCUUUGAUCGGCCAUAUGGGUGAGACUAAGAGAGUUUUAAAUAGAUUUUACAAGGAAAUUC
rnacentral:lncRNA from 1 species